UACGUAGGGGCUAGCGUUGUCCGGAAUCAUUGGGCGUAAAGAGCGUGUAGGCGGCCCGGUAAGUCCGCUGUGAAAGUCGGGGGCUCAACCCUCGAAUGCCGGUGGAUACUGUCGGGCUAGAGUGCGGAAGAGGCGAGUGGAAUUCCGGGUGGAGUGGUGAAAUGCGUAGAGAUCCGGAGGAACACCGAAGGCGAAGGCAGUGUCCUGGCGCGUAACUGACGCUGAGGUGCGAAAGCCAGGGAGCGAACGGG
rnacentral:rRNA from 1 species